GACAACCGCUGCUCGGCAGCGUGGGUAAAGCUGGGGGUGGAAGCGUUGUUCGGAAGUACGGGGCGUACAGGGCUCGUAGGCGGCCGAGUAAGUCAGACUGUGCAUCCCGCGGCUUAACCGGUGAACUGAGUCGGAUACUGGAUGGCUUGAGUGUGGGAGAGGGAUGCGGAAUUCCAGGUGUAGCGGUGAAAUGCGUAGAUAUCUGGAGGAACACCGGUGGCGAAGGCGGCAUCCUGGACCAUUACUGACGCUGAGGAGCGAAAGCCAGGGGAGCAAACGGGAUUAGAUACCCUAGUAGUC
rnacentral:rRNA from 1 species